UCACGAAAGUCUCUUCCCUUUUCAUUUUUUGUCAUUCAAAAAAUUUCCCUAAACACAAAUCCACAUAUUUUCUCUCUAAAUAGCCUAACCCUUGUGAUUUUUUCAUCUCCCAAACACCAAAAUAUCUUUCAAUUUUAAAGAAAAUCGUAAAAAAAAACACUAAUUUCUUUAUUAAUUUUCUAAACGAUUUUCUCAAAAUUCAAUCUCCCGUUCAUUUUUCUUCUUGGUCGAGUCUUGGAUCGUUGGAGCCUUCUUCAAGUAAAGCGAAAGGCAAGAUGAAACUCGUUUAAGCUUUCGACAACCAAGCGAAAGCUAGAUUGAAAAGUAGCACAUUGGGGGAGUGGGAAGCGGCCAAGAAAGUGAUCCAUUCAAGGCAUAGAAUUUGAGUAUGUUUUUGUAAUUUGAACAAUUGAAAAUAAAGGAAAGAUCUUAUGUGAGACUAGAUUUUUGAAUUGUUAUUAUGGAUUUGGAGCUUGAUUUUAGUUUGUUUUGAAGAUUGGUGAAUGAUAUGGAUGUUACUCAACAUGUUCAUUUAAUAUGCUUAUGCUAAAAGAGUUUAUUAAAA